rnacentral:rRNA from 1 species
CUCAGGAUGAACGCUGGCGGCGUGCCUAAUACAUGCAAGUCGAGCGAACGGACGAGAAGCUUGCUUCUCUGAUGUUAGCGGCGGACGGGUGAGUAACACGUGGAUAACCUACCUAUAAGACUGGGAUAACUUCGGGAAACCGGAGCUAAUACCGGAUAAUAUUUUGAACCGCAUGGUUCAAAAGUGAAAGACGGUCUUGCUGUCACUUAUAGAUGGAUCCGCGCUGCAUUAGCUAGUUGGUAAGGUAACGGCUUACCAAGGCAACGAUGCAUAGCCGACCUGAGAGGGUGAUCGGCCACACUGGAACUGAGACACGGUCCAGACUCCUACGGGAGGCAGCAGUAGGGAAUCUUCCGCAAUGGGCGAAAGCCUGACGGAGCAACGCCGCGUGAGUGAUGAAGGUCUUCGGAUCGUAAAACUCUGUUAUUAGGGAAGAACAUAUGUGUAAGUAACUGUGCACAUCUUGACGGUACCUAAUCAGAAAGCCACGGCUAACUACGUGCCAGCAGCCGCGGUAAUACGUAGGUGGCAAGCGUUAUCCGGAAUUAUUGGGCGUAAAGCGCGCGUAGGCGGUUUUUUAAGUCUGAUGUGAAAGCCCACGGCUCAACCGUGGAGGGUCAUUGGAAACUGGAAAACUUGAGUGCAGAAGAGGAAAGUGGAAUUCCAUGUGUAGCGGUGAAAUGCGCAGAGAUAUGGAGGAACACCAGUGGCGAAGGCGACUUUCUGGUCUGUAACUGACGCUGAUGUGCGAAAGCGUGGGGAUCAAACAGGAUUAGAUACCCUGGUAGUCCACGCCGUAAACGAUGAGUGCUAAGUGUUAGGGGGUUUCCGCCCCUUAGUGCUGCAGCUAACGCAUUAAGCACUCCGCCUGGGGAGUACGACCGCAAGGUUGAAACUCAAAGGAAUUGACGGGGACCCGCACAAGCGGUGGAGCAUGUGGUUUAAUUCGAAGCAACGCGAAGAACCUUACCAAAUCUUGACAUCCUUUGACAACUCUAGAGAUAGAGCCUUCCCCUUCGGGGGACAAAGUGACAGGUGGUGCAUGGUUGUCGUCAGCUCGUGUCGUGAGAUGUUGGGUUAAGUCCCGCAACGAGCGCAACCCUUAAGCUUAGUUGCCAUCAUUAAGUUGGGCACUCUAAGUUGACUGCCGGUGACAAACCCGGA